rnacentral:tRNA from 1 species
GGGCGGCUAGCUCAGCUGGGAGAGCACCACGUUCGCAACGUGGGGGUCGAGGGUUCGAGUCCCUUGCCGUCCACCA